GAUGAACGCUGGCGGCGUGCUUAACACAUGCAAGUCGAACGGAAAGGCCUGUACUUGUACAGGUACUCGAGUGGCGAACGGGUGAGUAACACGUGGGUGAUCUGCCCUGCACUAUGGGAUAAGCUUGGGAAACUGGGUCUAAUGCCAUAUAGGACCACUUCUUGGAUGUUGUGGUGGAAAGCUUUUGCGGUGUGGGAUGAGCCUGCGGCCUAUCAGCUUGUUGGUGGGGUAAUGGCCUACCAAGGCGGCGACGGGUAUCCGGCCUGAGAGGGGGUACGGACACGUUGGGACUGAGAUACGGCCCAGACUCCUACGGGAGGCAGCAGUGGGGAAUAUUGCACAAUGGGCACAAGCCUGAUGCAGCGACGCCGCGUGGGGGAUGACGGCCUUCGGGUUGUAAACUCCUUUCGCUAUCGACGAAGCCACCUUUGGUGGUGACGGUAGGUAGAUAAGAAGCACCGGCCAACUACGUGCCAGCCGCCGCCGUAA
rnacentral:rRNA from 1 species